rnacentral:rRNA from 1 species
ACGGGUGAGUAACGCGUGGGAACAUGCCCUUCGGUUCGGAAUAACUCAGGGAAACUUGAGCUAAUACCGGAUACGCCCUUAGGGGGAAAGAUUUAUUGCCGAAGGAUUGGCCCGCGUCCGAUUAGCUAGUUGGUGAGGUAAUGGCUCACCAAGGCGACGAUCGGUAGCUGGUCUGAGAGGAUGAUCAGCCACACUGGGACUGAGACACGGCCCAGACUCCUACGGGAGGCAGCAGUGGGGAAUAUUGGACAAUGGGCGCAAGCCUGAUCCAGCCAUGCCGCGUGAGUGAUGAAGGCCCUAGGGUUGUAAAGCUCUUUCGCCAGGGACGAUAAUGACGGUACCUGGAUAAGAAGCCCCGGCUAACUUCGUGCCAGCAGCCGCGGUAAUACGAAGGGGGCUAGCGUUGUUCGGAAUCACUGGGCGUAAAGCGCACGUAGGCGGAUCUUUAAGUCAGGGGUGAAAUCCCGAGGCUCAACCUCGGAACUGCCUUUGAUACUGGAGGUCUCGAGUCCGGGAGAGGUGAGUGGAACUGCGAGUGUAGAGGUGAAAUUCGUAGA